GGAUUGUGGCUCAGCGGUAAAGCGCUCGCCUAGCAUGUGAGAGCCCCAGGUUCGAUCCUCAGCACCA
rnacentral:tRNA from 1 species